rnacentral:tRNA from 1 species
UUGUUAUUGUAAAUAAGCAUAGUUUUUUUGCAAAAAAAAGGUUUAAAUCCAUUUAAACUGAAA